GUGCUUGCUUCAGCAGCACAUAUACUAAAACUGGAAUAAUACAGAGAUUAGCACGGCCCCUGCACAAGGAUGACAUGCAAAUCCGUGAAGUGUUCAAUAUUUUU
ensembl:snRNA U6 U6 spliceosomal RNA